rnacentral:rRNA from 1 species
ACGUAGGGUGCGAGCGUUGUCCGGAAUUACUGGGCGUAAAGAGCUCGUAGGCGGUUUGUCACGUCGUCUGUGAAAUCCUAGGGCUUAACCCUGGACGUGCAGGCGAUACGGGCUGACUUGAGUACUACAGGGGAGACUGGAAUUUCUGGUGGAGCGGUAGAAGGGAAAGAUAUCACGAAGAGGACCGAUGGCGAAGGCAGGGCUCAGGAUAGUAACUGACGCUGGUGAGCUAAAGUCAUGGUACCGAACAG